rnacentral:tRNA from 1 species
GGCCUCAUGGCGGAAUUGGCAGACGCAGUGGAUUCAAAAUCCACCGCCCCAAAGGCGUGAGGGUUCGAGUCCCUCUGAGGCCA